CAGGUAGUACUUCCAGGUUCUGAUAGUUUUUAUCCUUCAACCUGAAUAUUCAAAUUGGAUGCUUAAUGUAAUUGGGUCAACAUGUAAAAUUGGUACAUCCAUAAUUAAGACCUAUUAAUGUAAAUGAGGACUAAUUAAUUGGAGAAGACAUUGGUGAUAAUCCUCUGCAUAGCAGUUUCGGAUUUUUAUAUGGGGUUUAUUUGUUUGACUGUAAGAAAGCUGUAAUUUUUAUGCUACAUUGUUAUGUGAGGAGACAUUUUUGCUUAGUGCUUUUCUUCAUCUGCUCGAGUUCAUUAACAAUUUGAAGGUUCUAUCCUCAGUUUUGUUCUCGAUUAAGGGUUGAGAAAUGGUUGGAGCAGACUUUUACGAUUGGUGAAAACAGGUUCUGAUUAUUGUUGGAUUUUAUUUAUUGAAUUCUGGACUUUUCCUAUUGGAAUUGGUUAUUGUGAAUUUCAGUAGUGUUUUUUAUUAUUAGCAAUUUUUUAUUGUGAUCAUGAGUGGGAAUUAUUAUUUUCAGCUUAUCUCAGGCUUGAUUUAGAUUUACUUGAUUAAGAAAUUUAAGUUCUCUUUGUCGUUUUCUUAAUUUCGAUGCCUUUUCUUUUUUUUUUUUGCUUUUAGAAGUUAGAAUGGCGAUGAUGAUACGGCUUCAGUAUCUAACAAGAAAAUACCUACUUUUAGUACUCAGCCUCCUUCAAUUUCAUCUCUUGAGAAUGAUGUAUAAUUUGCUGAGACAAUGGAUUCAGAUUCUGGGAUGAAUGAAUUUUAUGAUAGAUAAAACUCACUAGGAACAGCAUAGGUGGAUAAUUUCAUACUCCCUCCAUCCCAUAAAGAUAGUCAUGUUUCCUUUUUCGUCUGUCCCAAAUUAUAGUCCUGGUUCUUAUUUGAGUGUAGUUAAUAUAUUUGUUUACUAAUACGUAUUUAAUAUGCUUUGUUAUCACAAAUAUAAACUACUCCAUUAUUCAAUUGUAUUUGGAAUAUUAAAUUAAAGACCAAAAAAAAAUUCAUCUUCCAUCACAUUUAUUCAUUUGUAUUUGUAUUGGAUGACUUCGGAAUGUAAAUUACCUUGAUUCUUGCAUUAAACAAUGACUAGUACUAAGAAUAGUUUAACUACCCUUAAUAUUGCAUGCAUAAUUUAAUUACCUUGAAUAUUGAUUGCAUUAAUGUGGGGGGUAUAUUAGGAAAUAUGAUAGUAAAAUUUAUUAUUUGACCUAUAUUAACUAAAUUUUCUUAAUCUGUAUGAAAAAAGAAAUAGGACUAUCUUUAUGAGGUGGAGGGAAUAUUUGAGUCUAGUGUGAUAUAUGAAUUUUGUUUGUAUAUUGGCUUUUUAAAAAUUUGAGCCUCCCUAACAUUUUGUUCUAGAUGACCAAUUCUUGAAAGGCACCAUUCUAAAUACAGAUUAUGUAGUUUGCUAAAUGAUUAAGUUGAGCUUGAAUCAUUAAAAAAUUUGCAUUUACAAUUUUGCGAUGACAGUUGUGGUAAUUAAUUGUCAUGUGAAAUGUAAAUUAUUAAUCAAGUAAAUGACAUAACAAAACGGUUUGUGGAGUUGUUUAUUCAAUGGUCUCUAGUUAAACAAUUUUUUAACCUCAAGUAACUAAGAUCGAGUAAGUUAGAUAAAUUGAUCGAUAUUUCGCCAGGAGAUUAUAAGAGAUAUACUGAUAUUGGUAAAAAUGUUGAUUGAUUAUACAUUUGCAAUACACCUUUAUAUAUUUCAUAAGUGUAACUAUAGAUGGAAUAUACAAUUCUGGACAGAUUAUAUGCUAUUAUUCUAUACGUAGCAGAUUGAUUGACAACUAAUAAGAUCCAUGAUUGACAGUCAAUACAAUUGGAGAAUCAAUCAAGCUGGUUCCUGAUACGACCCCUCAAAAUUAAUGAUCCAUCAGAAACAUUAAUUUUGCUACAUAACAGAUGAAAGCGGGAUCUAGCAAGAGGCUUUGUCAGUAAAUCUGCAAGCUGGUCAUCCGUGUGAAUGUGGGAAACGCGUAGUUGACCACGACGAACAUAGUCACAGACAAAAUGAAGAUCAAUGGCGAUGAGUUUCAUCCUGGAAUGCAUGACAGGAUUGAGGCUAAGCUGUGUGACACCGACAUUGUCAUAGAGAAGUAAAGGAGGCUUACGGAGCUUAAGACCAAGUUCAUCAAGCAAGGAUUGAAUCCAAGCAAUGUCCGUUGUUGCAGUGUGAGGGCUCGAUAUUCAGCCUCUGUGGAGGAACGAGCCACCGCUUUUUGCUUCCGACUGCAUCAGCUGAUAAGAUUAUUGCCUAGAAAAAUGAUAUAAGCUGUUGUAGACUUGCGAUCAUCAAGAUCACCCCUCCGGCAUCAGAAAAACCUCGAAGAAUAGGAUUUACUUGACGAUGAAGGAGAAUUUCGAAGUGAAUCGUUUGCUUGAUGUAGCGCAAAAGACGCUUAACAUGCUGCCAGUGAGCAACCGUUGGCUUGAGCAUAAACUGAGCUAGUGGAUUUACUGCAAAACUGAUAUCCGGGAGGGUUAGAGACAGAUAUUGCAGGGAGCCAAUGGUGCGACGAUAUUCGUGGCAUCAUACCCUGCAGUCCCAUCAUUGAGAAGAAGCUUAGCUGUUAUAGACAUAGGGGUAUGAACCACCUUUGCACCAGCCAUCUUCAACCGGGUGAGAAUGUCAUGGACAUAGCGAUUCUGAGAGAGGAAUAGUCCUUCUUUUACUGGAAUGACUUCCACUCCGAGAAGAAAAUGUAGAUCACAUAGCUUCUUGAGAGAAAUCUGUUGCCCAAAGACUUAACAAGAUGCUGUAAAAACUGAAUGUUAUUCCCUGUAAGAAUUAAAUCAUCAACGUAGACAAGAAUGUAGAAGAGAAUUCCAUCACGGUUAAAUAUGAAAAGAGAGCUAUCAGAUUUGGAAUUAGAGAAUCCCAAAUCUAAUAAGCUGGAUCGCAAUGCAUCGUAACAGGCCCUGGGGGCUUGCUUCAAACAAUAAGCUGAUUUUUGAAGAGCGCAAACAUAAUCAGGAUGUGACUCAUCGAUAAACCAGCAGGUUGCAUCAUGAACACUUUCUCGGUUAGUUGGCCAUGAAGAAAAGCAUUGUUAACGUCGAUUUGCUUCAAUGGCCAAUUGUUGGAUAACGCAAGUGAUAGUAUCAGGCGAAUAGUGGUAGGCUUGACUACCGGACUGAAGGUUUCGGUAUAAUCAACACCCAGGAUGCUAUUGAAACCUAUCGCUACAAGCCGCGCCUUGAAUCUGUCCACUGUACCAUCAAUAUGGCGUUUAACCCUGAAAAGCCAUCUACUCCCAACUAGAUUAGAGUCAGGAAGCUUAGGAACAAGCUUCCAAGUGCCAUGUGACACUAAGGCAGUAAACUCAUCAGUCAUAGCCUUACGCCACCGAGGGUCCUUUAGGGCGUGAGUCACACACGAUGGUUCUAAAGGUGGUGAAAUGGGGUGCUUAGUGGUGACAGAAAUCUGCUUAGGGUGAAAAAUAUUAUUUUGGCAUGAGUGACCAUAUAGUGAGUGCGAGCAGGUGGCACAUUUAAGAGAGAGGUAGUGCUAGGUGUUGAACUAGAUGGGGAAGUACAAAUGUGAUCAGAGGACAUACCUUGACCAUUAGAUGGUGAUGGGAUUGUAGGAGUAGUAGGCGUAGUAGUUGUGUGGACAAGGUCCGUUGAGGCAACAACACGAAUGGAAGGAACUGGUGUGAUCAAAGUAGGUGAUUGAUGCACAGGAGAAGGAGGAGAGACAUUCAAAACACCCCCAUAUGAUGAAUUUUUAAGAAAAUAAAGUUUCAUCAAAUGUGACAUGGCGAGACAAAUGUAGCCGACCCGUGGAUAAAUCCAAACAUUUGAAGGCAUUUUGGGUUAGAGAAUAGCCUAGGAAAAUGCAGGGACUAGACUUGGUUUGAAGCUUUUGUGUGCGAUAAGGAACUAACCAAGGAUAGCAUUGGCAACCGAAUUUGCACAAUUUGUGGUAGUCAGGAACUUGUCCAAAUAAAGCUUCAAAUGGACUUUUACGAGUGAGUAAAAGGGUGGGAAAGCGAUUAAUAAGAUAGAUAGCUGUGUCUAAUGCAUAAGUCCAGUAGGUAGAAGGAACCGAAGCACGGUGUAGGUGAGCCAAACUAGUUUCGACGAUGUGACGAUGACGACGCUCAACGGUGCCAUUUUGUUGGGCGGUAUGAGGAGACGUAGUAUAAUGGCUAAUACCAUGUGUGGCCAGGAAUGAGCGAAGUGCGAUGAAUUCACCACCAUUAUCCGUAUAUAAAUUUUUAAUAGGAGUGGAAAUUAUUUUUUCUAGCAUUGCAGACAAUUGGAUAAAAAUGGGACGAACAUCAGACUUAUUCUUCAUUGGAAAAUACCAACAAUGCUAGGUGAGAAUGAUCAACAAAAGAAACAUAAUAUCGAUAACCAUCAACAGAAGAAACUGGGGAUGACCCCAAACAUCAGCAUACAAAAAUUCAAGGGGAGCAUGACUUUUAAGAGAAGUAGGACUAAAGGGCAACUAAUGAGACUUAUUACAUUGACAUGAAAUACAUGAAAUCCUGGACUUGGUUGACGACACGGGUAGGGAGUAACUACAGAGUAAGGAAGAGAUUUUGAGGUGGAGGAAAGGGUUGUAGAACCAAUGUGUGCAACUCUUAAACCCGUACCAUCGCCGAGGACAAUUUCAUCUUGUCCAUCAUACUCCGAGUGAAGGGAGAGAUUAGCUGGAUCGGAUGUAAUGUUGUGGGAGGCAGCGGAAUCGAGGAGCCAUUUUCCAUUCUUUGGGUUAGAAGAAGUAGGACAAUUUGCAAUAGGUCGGGAUGGCAGUUUGUCACAAUUCUUAGCACUGUAACCAUGCUGGUCACAAAAUUGACACACAACAGAUGACCUCCAAGCAGAUUGAUUAUUGUUAUAUUGAUGUUUGGACUUGUUCUUGCCCAUUUUGGGACGACCAUUGAACGACUUCCUCUGAGAAGAAUUGGCUGUAACUACCAGGUUCGAAGUGUUUACAUCCAUGCGUUUGAUAUAUUGUUCAUGACCAACUAGAAGGUCAUGUAAAUCUGUAAAGGACAGGGCAAAUUCACGAGUGCGAAUUGGAGCUACCAUAUCUCUAAAUUCCGAACCAAGGCCAUUUAAGACAUACAACGUCGAAUCAUCAUCAGAAACUGGGGCAUCAAUUAAAGAGAGUUCAUCAACGAUCACCUUGACAGCAUGAAGAAACACAGAGACCAUGCGAGAACCCUGUUGAAUAAAGGGUUAGGUCUUCUUUGAGCUGCAUAAUACGAGCCCGAAAUUUGCUUGCAAAUAAGCGGGCCAGGUGUUGCCAAGCAUCAUAACUGGUAGAAGUCAUGGCGAUGAGAGGCAAAAUAGUUUCAGAAACUGAGGAGAAUAUGGCAUUAAGAAGCAACUGAUCUUGUCGGUACCAGUGUGCAAAAUGAGCCUUGAUAGCAGCAGAAGACUCAGCAACAUGCUUGGGAGGGCAUUUGAGGGUGCCAUCCAAGUAUCCCAUCAGAUCAUAUCAAAUGAGGAUGGUAAGGAAUGUUGCGCGCUAAGAAGGAUAAUUUGAGGAAGUAAGUUUGUAGGGCAGUUGGCUGGAGGUGUUUAUAGCUAUCAAUGGAAGCUCAAUGGAAUCUGAGGUCAGUUGAGUCACCGGAGAAAGGGAGGAAUUCACACUUGUGGCUGGCAUGGAGGUUGGAAAAACUUUCUAUUCUCAUAAGAGAGGAACCUCGUGAUACCAUAUAAGAGAUAUACUGAUAUUGGUAAAAAUGUUAAUUGAUUAUACAUUUGCAAUACACCUUUAUAUAUUACAUGAGUGUAAUUAAAGAUGGAAUAUACAAUUCUGGACAGAUUAUAUGCUAUUAUUCUAUACAUAGCAGAUUGAUUGACAAC
rnacentral:lncRNA from 1 species